rnacentral:rRNA from 1 species
GGCUCAGGACGAACGCUGGCGGCGUGCUUAACACAUGCAAGUCGAACGGUGAUGUCAGAGCUUGCUCUGGCGGAUCAGUGGCGAACGGGUGAGUAACACGUGAGUAACCUGCCCCCGACUCUGGGAUAACUGCUAGAAAUGGUAGCUAAUACCGGAUAUGACGACUGGCCGCAUGGUCUGGUCGUGGAAAGAACUUCGGUUGGGGAUGGACUCGCGGCCUAUCAGGUUGUUGGUGAGGUAAUGGCUCACCAAGCCUACGACGGGUAGCCGGCCUGAGAGGGUGACCGGCCACACUGGGACUGAGACACGGCCCAGACUCCUACGGGAGGCAGCAGUGGGGAAUAUUGCACAAUGGGCGCAAGCCUGAUGCAGCAACGCCGCGUGAGGGAUGACGGCCUUCGGGUUGUAAACCUCUUUUAGUAGGGAAGAAGCGAAAGUGAC